CCGGCCCAUAGCGCCGAUUUGACCGAUCAGCUUGCGGGCGCUCUACAAAUACGGCUAAAGCGGGGCGAGCCCAGUCCGCG
rnacentral:ncRNA from 2 species